rnacentral:rRNA from 1 species
AACAUUGCCUUUAGAAAAUUUAUUAAAGGUUCAUCCUGCCCAGUGAAACAUUUUUCAACGGCCGCGGUACCCUAACCGUGCAAAGGUAGCAUAAUCAUUUGCCUUUUAAUUGUAGGCUAGUAUGAACGGACAAACGAAAUUUCACCUGUAUCAAUUUUAUAAAAUAAAAAUUAGACUUCAUGUGAAGAUACAUGAAUCCUAUUGAAAGACAAGAAGACCCUAUAGAGUUUUAGUAGAUAUUUUCCUCAAUAAUUAACCUACUUUGGUUGGGGCGACCUAGGAUUAACUAAAACAUCCUCAUAUUAACAGAGUGAUAACUCUCCCUAAUGAUCCUGAUAAUCAGAUUCUUAAAACAAACUACCUUAGGGAUAACAGGCUUAUCUUCCUAAAGAGUCCAAAUUGACAGGAAGGUCUGGCACCUCGAUGUUGGCUUAGAGUAACCUAUUAAUGCAAAAGUUAAUUUAGGUCGGUUUGUUCAACCGUUAAAUCUCUACAUGAUCUGA